GCAGUCGCCGCGGUAAUACAGAGGGUGCGAGCGUUAAUCGGAUUUACUGGGCGUAAAGCGUGCGUAGGCGGCUAAUUGAGUCGGAUGUGAAAUCCCUGAGCUUAACUUAGGAAUUGCAUUCGAUACUGGGAAGCUAGAGUAUGGGAGAGGAUGGUAGAAUUCCAGGUGUAGCGGUGAAAUGCGUAGAGAUCUGGAGGAAUACCGAUGGCGAAGGCAGCCAUCUGGCCUAAUACUGACGCUGAGGUACGAAAGCAUGGGGAGCAAACAGGAUUAGAUACCCCUGUAGUCCCUGUCUCUUAUAC
rnacentral:rRNA from 1 species